rnacentral:rRNA from 1 species
UGAGGAAUAUUGGUCAAUGGGGGCAACCCUGAACCAGCCAAGUCGCGUGAAGGAUGAAGGUCUUAUGGAUUGUAAACUUCUUUUAUACAGGAAUAAAUUGGGGGACGUGUCCCCUUUUGCAUGUACUGUAUGAAUAAGGAUCGGCUAACUCCGUGCCAGCAGCCGCGGUAAUACGGAGGAUCCGAGCGUUAUCCGGAUUUAUUGGGUUUAAAGGGUGCGCAGGCGGGAUGUUAAGUCGGCGGUGAAAUUUUGCAGCUCACCUGUAAAAGUGCCUUCGAUUCUGGCCUCCUUGAGUGUGGAUGAAGUAGGCGGAAUUUGUGGUGUAGCGGUGAAAUGCUUAGAUAUCACGAGGAACUCCGAUUGCGCAGGCAGCUUACUAAGCCACAACUGACGCUCAUGCACGAAGGCGUGGGGAUCAAACA